AGUGUAGGCGGCAUAGCAAGUUAGAUGUGAAAGCCCGCGGCUUAACUGCGGAACUGCAUCUAAAACUGCUGAGCUUGAGUGCAGGAGAGGUAAGUGGAAUUCCUAGUGUAGCGGUGGAAUGCGUAGAUAUUAGGAGGAACAUCAGAGGCGAAGGCGACUUACUGGACUGUAACUGACGCUGAGGCGCGAAAGCCAGGGGAGCAAACG
rnacentral:rRNA from 1 species